rnacentral:ribozyme from 1 species
AAAAAGUGAGACAAACAACGUUAUUGGAAAGAUGAAUGGAUUCUUUUCUUUUCUUGUCUUUUGUGUUUCACCAAGGUUUCUUUUGUUUCCUUUUUUCUUUUCCUUUUUUCUUUAAAUU